ensembl:lncRNA
CGCCCUCUCUCCGGCCCGGGUCGGCCCGGGCGGGGAGUGCCGCGGGCUGGCUCCCGCAGCGUUGCCGUUCUGAUGGGGCGAACGGCCGCUCCCGUCAGCGACCUGGACGAGCAGGCUUCUUCUCCAGGUCUCACCCUCGCUGCCUCUUCAGAGGAAAUCCCCCCCACACACAUACACACACGUUCGCGGUGAGGGCGGUCCGGCGCUGGAGCCCGUGGGCCCGGAGAGGCUGGGGGCGCCUCCGUUCCUGCGGGUGUCCCGGAGCCGUCUGGAGCAGCCCGGAGCAGCCCGCGGUGACGGCCGGACCCUUCCGGCCGCCUUCCCUCUCUCCCUUGGACCGCCGCUGCGUUCCCUCGCCCGCUGCCCAGCGGUAACGACAGGCAGGUGGACGGGGACGAAACGGGCCCUCAGCUGCAGGUGCUGACAGCUCCGGGAACUGAAGCUGCUGGGUUCCACACCCCAGACCACUCAGAAAACCGUCUGUCAAGAUUACUUCAACCGGGAAGGAAGGUCCAUGGAAGGCAUAACUGGUAGAGGGAACUUGCUGUUGACAACUGCAGCUGAUAAAGGAAAUACUGUGUCACAUUCUGAUUUGAUUCAUGAGAAGCCAAAGAAAUUGCAGUAUUCCUCUGAGAAUGUUUUCUCUAUUGGCUAUGAUAAGAGUCUCUUCAGUUCAUUACUAUUACCCCCUCAAAUAAGGACUUGCCAUUAUUGCAGUCUGUUUGGAUCCCUCAGAUGUUCACAAUGCAAGCAAAUAUACUAUUGCUCUGCAGAUUGUCAGAAAAAAGAUUGGCCAGCACAUAGUGUUGGUAAUUCAAUUUCUGUGGAUUCUCUCAAGACAGAAGAGCGCAUGAAGAAGAUAAUGCUUUCAGAUCUCCAGACUCUAGGGAUCAAAAAAGCUAUGGAAGUACAGGGUGUAGUAACAAAGUUCAAGAGUCCAAGUGAAUUUUAUAUACAGAUGAGUUCUCCAGAAGUUUUAGACCAGAUCAGUAAACUUUCUGUGAAACUGCAAGACUGUUACGCUAACACAGUUAUUCAAGAGCAACAUACUGCUAUCAGAGGGGAAGUCUGCAUUGCAAGGUGUUCUUUGGAUCAGACCUGGAAUAGAGCACUGGUAAAAGAUGUGGAUAUAUUGCAAAAGAAAGCACAAGUAUUCUAUAUAGAUUAUGGAAAUGAAGAAAAUAUUCCGCUCUCCUGGAUUAAAGCUCUGCACGAAGACAUUGAACUGUUGCUUCCUCCAUGUGCCAUUAAGUGUUCCUUUGCUAAUUAUGAUCCGAAAGCAAAAGGAUGGAAUGAAGACAUCACCAGCCUUUCUUCCCAACUCGUGGGAAAGCACUGUUCAGUAACUGUUGUUGAUGUAUUUGAGGAAGAAAUGAUGUUGAGUUUUGCUGUAGAUGUUGUUCUUCCAGAUUGUGGAGACUGCCUAGAUAAAGUGCCUUUAGAAAUGAGGUCUGAUUUAACUCCAGGAAGUAAUGGAAGUAAACAAAAAAUACCUGAAGAUGAAGAAUUUCUUCAUUGUGCUAAUUCAGUUGCAGAGUGUGUCUCUGUACGUAUCGGCGAUGCAUUUUCUGCUGUGGUUUCCUGCGUUCAAAAUCCAGAAGAAUUUUUCUGUCAGCAGAUACACAGUGCCCGUCAACUUGCUGAACUUCAAGUGUCUCUUAAUGAACAUUGUGACAGAUUUCCCAGUAGUCCAGCUUUCCAUCCUGCUGCUGGAAAUGUGUGCUGUGCCCAGUUCACAGAAGAUAAUCUUUGGUAUCGUGCUGCUGUUAUAGCAAAUGUUUCUGAAGAUACUGUUUUGGUGGGCUACAUAGAUUAUGGUAAUUGUGAAGUCCUUCCACUGACUAGACUUCGUCCUAUGAUUCCAAGAUUAAUGGACUUGCCAGCUCAAGCCAUAAGAUGUACCUUGGCAGGUGUAAAGCCACCAUCAGGAGCCUGGACCUCAAAAGCAAUUUGUUUUAUGAACCAACUGGUGAAAGACAAAGUGUUCACAGUAAAAGUAGUGGAUAAAGAGAGUUACAAAUCUGUGGUGGAGCUUGUAGAUGCAUCAGUUACUCCAGUAAUGAAUAUAUCGAGCCAUUUCAUAGAGAAAGGCUGUGCAGUUCAGGAAUUGAGGAUGGCUCUACCAGCAAUUGGAAUGAGUAAUGUUAAGCAAGCAAAUGGUGAGUAUGAGCACAUCCUAAUUUGCAAGUGGAGUAAAUUAAAUCUUAAACAAACAGUAGAUGUCGUAGUGUGUACGCUGUACAAUCCUGGAGAAUUCUACUGUCAGAUUUCAAAUAACAGUGCUCUAAACUUACUUAACAAAUCAUUGUCUGAAUACUGUCAGAAAACUCCACCAAAUGUUUUUAAGCCUGAGAAUGGAGAACCUUGCUGUGCUUUUUUCUCUGAUGAUGGUAACUGGUACCGUGCUUUGGUGCAAAACAUUACUUCAGAUGGAACUGUUAAAGUGUACUUUGUGGACUAUGGAAAUGUUGAGGAAGUACCACUGGAUAAAAUACGGCAGAUCUCAUCCUCAUUCCUAAAACUUCCAUUUCAAGGAAUUAAAUGCUGGCUCUCAGGUAUAAAGCCUGGUAAGAGCAAAUGGAUUCCAGAAGCUACAGCAAGAUUUCGUAUGUACACUGCAGGAAUAAAGCUUCAAGCCAGAGUAACUUCCCUUUCCAGAGAUGGGGCCGGUGUAGAGCUUAUUGACAAUUCCACCGGUCAUCCAAAAGUGAUCAAUGAGAUACUGGCUUCUGAAAAAUUGGCUGUAAAGCAAGUUCUACAAGAUAAAAAUAACUUUCCAAACAAUGGUACACUGAAUUUUCUGUUUCUGUUAGAAACCUCACUUGGGCACUGGAAGUUGAUUGAAUUGGCUAUAGAUGAAACCGUGUCUGUCUGUGUAACAGAAGUUGUAAGCCCAGGCUUGUUCUAUGCUGUACCAGUUCAAACUAAAGAUCGAGAGAAGCUACAUACGCAGUUGAUUGAACUAGAAGGCUAUUGUAAAUCUUGUAAGAACCAGCCCUUCAAACCAAAACUGGGUGAAGCCUGUUGUGCAAGGUUUUCAGGUGAUGGCCGUUGGUACAGAGCUCUUGUUCUACAAGCUUCUCAGUCUGUAGUGAAAGUACUAUAUGCAGACUAUGGGAACACAGAAACUUUACCACUUUCAGAGGUGCUGCCAAUCACCGAUUCCUACUUAAAGCUGCCUUUUCAGACAAUUAUAUGUUCACUUACCAAAUGCUGCUGCACAGAAUUAAAGAUGCAAGUAAGAAUCAGUCCAAGCAAUACUUUGUUUUACAUUUCCAGAAUUUAA